rnacentral:rRNA from 1 species
UGGGGAAUUUUGGACAAUGGGCGAAAGCCUGAUCCAGCAAUGCCGCGUGUGUGAAGAAGGCCUUCGGGUUGUAAAGCACUUUUGUCCGGAAAGAAAUCCUCUGGGUUAAUACCUCGGGGGGAUGACGGUACCGGAAGAAUAAGCACCGGCUAACUACGUGCCAGCAGCCGCGGUAAUACGUAGGGUGCAAGCGUUAAUCGGAAUUACUGGGCGUAAAGCGUGCGCAGGCGGUUUUGUAAGACGGAUGUGAAAUCCCCGGGCUCAACCUGGGAACUGCAUUGGUGACUGGCAGGCUAGAGUAUGGCAGAGGGGGGUAGAAUUCCACGUGUAGCAGUGAAAUGCGUAGAGAUGUGGAGGAAUACCGAUGGCGAAGGCAGCCCCCUGGGCCAAUACUGACGCUCAUGCACGAAAGCGUGGGGAGCAAACAGGAUUAGAUACCCUGGUAGUCCACGCCCUAAACGAUGUCAACUAGUUGUUGGGGAUUCAUUUCCUUAGUAACGUAGCUAACGCGUGAAGUUGACCGCCUGGGGAGUACGGUCGCAAGAUUAAAACUCAAAUGAAUUGACGGGGUCAUAGCUGUUUCCU